rnacentral:rRNA from 1 species
GAUGAACGCUGGCGGCGUGCCUAAUACAUGCAAGUCGAGCGAACGGACGAGAAGCUUGCUUCUCUGAUGUUAGCGGCGGACGGGUGAGUAACACGUGGAUAACCUACCUAUAAGACUGGGAUAACUUCGGGAAACCGGAGCUAAUACCGGAUAAUAUUUUGAACCGCAUGGUUCAAAAGUGAAAGACGGUCUUGCUGUCACUUAUAGAUGGAUCCGCGCUGCAUUAGCUAGUUGGUAAGGUAACGGCUUACCAAGGCAACGAUGCAUAGCCGACCUGAGAGGUUGAUCGGCCACACUGCAACUGAGACACGGUCCAGACUCCUACGGGAGGCAGCAGUAGGGAAUCUUCCGCAAUGGGCGAAAGCCUGACGGAGCAACGCCGCGUGAGUGAUGAAGGUCUUCGGAUCGUAAAACUCUGUUAUUAGGGAAGAACAUAUGUGUAAGUAACUGUGCACAUCUUGACGGUACCUAAUCAGAAAGCCACGGCUAACUACGUG